ACGGGUGAGUAACACGUGGGCAUCUACCUUGAAGUGGGGAAUAACGAGCCGAAAGGUUCGCUAAUACCGCAUGAGAUCGAGAGAUGAAAGGGCGAUUCGAAAGAAUCGGUCGCUUUAAGCGGAGCCUGCGGUCGAUCAGGUAGUUGGUGAGGUAACGGCUCACCAAGCCUCUGACCGAUAGCUGAUCUGAGAGGAUGACCAGCCACACUGGCACUGAGAGACGGGCCAGACUCCUACGGGAGGCAGCAGCGAGGAAUAUUGCACAAUGGAGGCAACUCUGAUGCAGUAACGCCGCGUGGGGGAAGAAGACCUUCGGGUUGUAAACCUCUUUUUGUAUCGACGAGUGAGGACGGUAGAUGCAGAAUCAGUCUCGGCUAACUACGUGCCAGCAGCCGCGGUAAGACGUAGGAGGCGAGCGUUAUCCGGAUUCACUGGGCGUAAAGCGCAUGUAGGCGGUUGGACAAGUCGUGUGUUAAAGCCCCUGGCUCAACUGGGGGAGGUCAUGCGAGACUGUACGACUUGAGGGCAAGAGAGGCACGUGGAACUCCCGGUGUAGCGGUGGAAUGCGUAGA
rnacentral:rRNA from 1 species